AUCAGGUUUCCAUUGGGUUACUUGCUGAGAUAAAGCUGUUAUAAGUCGAAAGAGUUGCUGUUGCUGCCUUCCUUGUAUGGUAAAAUCCUCAGACUACAAUCCUGCAAACCAUUGGAUGAACUGUUGCUAUCUUUUGUAAAAAAAAUCAGCAGAUAUUUGUCUUAUAAGCAGAAUGAAUUGUAAAUGCAAUUAAUUUUUAAUGCUUUAUUAUUCAAAUUAUAAAUAUUUAUUUCAUUAUUUUUUCUUGCAUUCAAUUAUUGUUUUGUGAUUGAAGAAAUAUAAAAAAAAACUGUGAAAUUAUUGUUAUUUGAGAGGUCCCAAAGGUAUGAUGUAUGGUUUCACAAGAUACCCAUAAGACUUGCUUCAGUUUACAUAUAUUUUUUAAGUUAUGUACACUGGUUAAGAAUAAUAAGUCCUUUGUAAAAUGAUUUUUUCUGGUUAGAAACCAAUUAAGUAGGACUUUGAUGGCCAAACACUAAAAGGGAAUAAAACAAAUCCCCUAUUAAGCAAUUUAAGUACUGAGUUUUUGGUGCAAUAUGAACUAGAAAUAAAAAUGUUUAGUUAGAUGGUUUGUUUUGACUCUGCAUUCUUUACAUUCAUACAAAUUAAUGGCUGUCAGUUUUAUUUAUUAGUUUUGUUUAUAUAUUAUAAAUGCAUUAUUCAGCAUCUGAGACCACUCAAGUGAAAAUAAUUACAUAGUUUUUGCAGUUUGUCAUAUUUUCUCAUUUUUGUGUGAUUGAUUUCUAUAUUUUUUCUCAUUUAUGAUUAUUUAUAUUUUAAUGUUUGAUUUUUGAGGCUUGUACUCAGUUUCUAAACAAUUACCUCCCCCUCCACAUGUAUAACCAGGAUCCUGUAAAAGAAGUUUUGAUUUUGAAGGAUAGAUGGAUGAUUAAAAAUGCAAGAUUUUUUUAAUGUGCUAGUUCAUAAUGUAAAAGUCUGCACAAGACAUCUAACCCUACCUGAACACAUUAUUCUGACUUCCAGCUGACCAGUCUUUGCUCCUACUCCGAAUUGCUGAAUGCUUAGCAGGGGAGCAUCAAAUACCAAUUUUCAAUUCUUUGAUAUGACCCAGGGCAGGACCAAAUCCCAUGCCCAUCUGCACUCAUGUUAGCAUAAAAAGGUUAUUAAAGAAGAUUUAUCUGUCUGUUUGUUCUUCAUCAUCUCUCAUCCACAGCCUAUAAACUAUUGGAAGGUUUUCAUUUAAACUUUCAGAUUAUCUUCUGUAUCUAAUGGCUGUGUGAAUUUUAUUUUGUUAUAAUGAAAUUUUGGGGUUCUCAAUUGUAAUGAAUGGACCUAAGUAUUUGGAAAAAAGGGAAAGAAGCUUCUCAUACCACCAUUUUAUCAUGUGAAGGAUAGGUUGGUUCAAAUAUAUUUGUUUUUAAUCAUGUUUUUAGUAGUUAAAUCUCAUUAUGACAAAAUUUUAAUGACUAAAAUUCAAAAUUAAUUUGGGGUUCACACUGAUAUAUAUUACCACUAUAGCUUUAAUGUAAAUUUUAUAAGGCUUUGCUAUAACAAGAUUUGUGUUUUAUCUGGUUUUAUCUGAUUUUAGUGGAUUUUUAUGUGAUUUUAUUUGUUUUUACUGUCAAAUCUUGUUAUACCAAGCCUUAGUAUGAUUGAGUUUAUAUAUUUUGAUUAUACAUGCAAUUCAAAAUAUAAUAAAUUUACAUAAUGAGAUCAGACAUUUAUUAUGCUUUUAACUCUUCUUAGUGGAUAUAGAAAAAUGAAUGAACAUAAAUAUUGAAGUGGCUGUUGAAGAUUGACCAAAUUACAAGAUUUAUAAAUGCAGAAUCUUGCUCUAACUAAAUCUAUGUUCUUAUCAGCUGAACCAACCUAUCCUUCAAUAUGAGUAAUAAAAUUUUAUAAAUGGAAAAGACCAUUCUUCGAUUGGGGAACCUUUGGAUGUGAAAAAGAUGUACACAAUGCCAACAAAUACUGAAGAUUAUUUGAAAGUUUAGGCAAAAACAAUUCAAUCCUUUAAUUGUGAUUAGAAGUUGUAGACGGAUGAGCAAACAGAUGAUAUACUUGCUUACUAUGGCACAUUUCCUAAAGGAUAUGGACUAUGGGUAUGGGUUUUGCUCAUGGUUGAAGGCUGUAGGUGACUGAUAGUUGAUAAAUUCUAUGUCAUUUGGUCUCUGGUGGAGAGUUGUCUCAUUGGCAAUCAUAUCUCAUCUUUUUAUUUUAUAUGAAAUAAUUACUUAUUACUUCCUGGGCAAUAAGUUCUGGUUCCAAGAAAAUAAUAAAAAAAAAUAUUUAUAUCAUACAUGUAUUGUUAAAUAACUAUCCUACUUUGAUAUAAAGAAUUGACUUUGGUUAGAAAUUGGAGGAAUUAUAAAGAAACUUUAUAUACAAUAUAAGAGCUUGGGGUUAUAAAUGUUUAAUGAAAUGCAGUUAACUAUUUCCUUGGUGAUCUAAUAAUUUUUGCACAGCUCACGAUAUUAGUUUAUUUAAAUAACCCAGUAAAUAAAUUGAAUACACCUCAAAAAAGAAUUUGAUUCAUGUAUUUUUAUGCAUUUUUUAUCUUAGUAUUUACCAUUGUAUUCCUUGUUAUAUUUGUAAAUGCCUCUUCGUAUGUGACAAACUGAGGAUUCAUAUAUUUUAUGGAAUUAUAUAAAUUUAUUUUAAGUUUGGUAUUUAAAAGUAUUGGAAAGCACCAAGAUUAAUAUUGAGCAAAAAAAAAUAUUCCUUUAAGACCUAAGGAUAUUAAAAUUUUAAGACAUGUAUCUCAGAACAGAAUUGAUUUUCUAAAUUCUAUUUAAACAGCUAGUCUGGGAACUGGUAUCAAGAAACUAAAAAGAAUCCUCAGCGCUGUCAGUUAUUUUGUAUAAUUGUAAUAUUUAACCAAUGAUACCUUACCCAUGAUGCAGUUCCUUUUCCUCCUUUUACUUAUAAAGGGACUAAAAACUUAUUAUUAUUACAAUUUCUUUGGUAUUUGUACACACUUGAUGGAGCAGAAUGGGUCUGGUUUCAUUUGGGUAUUUUAUAUUAUGAUGCAUGAUAAUGAUAUAAAUAAAUAGGUAAAUAAAAAUUUAAUUGAGAAAACCUA